rnacentral:rRNA from 1 species
UUGCCCUAGUAACGGCGAGUGAAGCGGCAACAGCUCAAAUUUGAAAUCUGGCGCAAGCCCGAGUUGUAAUUUGUAGAGGAUGCUUCUGGGUAGCGGCCGGUCUAAGUUCCUUGGAACAGGACGUCAUAGAGGGUGAGAAUCCCGUAUGUGACUGGCUUGCACCCUCCACGUAGCUCCUUCGACGAGUCGAGUUGUUUGGGAAUGCAGCUCUAAAUGGGAGGUAAAUUUCUUCUAAAGCUAAAUACCGGCCAGAGACCGAUAGCGCACAAGUAGAGUGAUCGAAAGAUGAAAAGCACUUUGGAAAGAGAGUUAAAAAGCACGUGAAAUUGUUGAAAGGGAAGCGCCCGCAACCAGACUUUGCGGCAGUGUUCGGCCGGUCUUCUGACCGGUUUACUCGCUGUCGUGAGGCCAUCAUCGUCUGGGACCGCUGGAUAAGACCUUAGGAAUGUGGCUCCCCUCGGGGAGUGUUAUAGCCUCUGGUGAUGCAGCGCGUCUCGGGCGAGGUCCGCGCUUCGGCAAGGAUGAUGGCGUAAUGGUUGUCGGCGGCCCGUCUUGAAACACGGACCAAGGAGUCUAACAUCUAUGCGAGUGUUCGGGUGUCAAACCCCUACGCGUAAUGAAAGUGAACGGAGGUGGGAACUUUUUGUGCACCAUCGACCGAUCCUGAUGUCCUCGGAUGGAUUUGAGUAAGAGCAUAGCUGUUGGGACCCGAAAGAUGGUGAACUAUGCCUGAAUAGGGUGAAGCCAGAGGAAACUCUGGUGGAGGCUCGCAGCGGUUCUGACGUGCAAAUCGAUCGUCAAAUUUGGGUAUAGGGGCGAAAGACUAAUCGAACCAU